rnacentral:lncRNA from 1 species
UUAUAAAAUAGUAUAGUAAAAAAAAUAUGUUUUCUGUUUAGACAUCCAGUUAUGACUGCUUGCUUGGCUGUCUUUUUUCUUUUAUCAACGACUGCUUGGCUAUCGAAGAGCAUCGUUAACGCCGGGAUGUUACACGGUACUUAACCAAAUUUUUAGCUUUUAAAAAAAUAAAAUUAAUUAAAAAGCAGGAGAAAGUGUAAAGUCAAGUUCUUGUUUUACGGUUUUUAGAAAGAAGAAAUUAUAUUCUACGGCUGUCACCAAACUAGAGUUUUAACUGCUCAAAAAAAUUAAACAUACCACAAAAAAAUAUUAAAAAAAAAGCCAAACUCUCUCUGGCGCUUCCCCCAAUGACCAACGUGUGGAAGAUCCCGAUCACCGUUUCCGCCGCGAAUCCACCGUCGUUCUCCACUGGAGAGCAGCCUCCACCUGACCCUUUCCCCCCAGACCCACCCGACCCCCAAUCGCCCCUUUCUCCACAAGACUACCCUCCUCUUUCUUUCUCUAAAACUG